rnacentral:lncRNA from 1 species
CGCUGCUUGGGACAUGUGCCAAGAGCAAGAAGGGAGCACUGCCCAGGACCCUGGCAGUGCAGGGAAGCUCCGAGGGAGAACAAGUAACUCUUCUUAAGGGAAUCCUGCCAUCCUGGCUGGAGUCCUCAGCACCAGUAGUGGGCUGCCAUUUAAUGGCCCUUUUGGGUCAGUGGCUCUCAGAUGCUUUUAUGGGGGAAACAAGUCGACUUAAGUGCCUACCUUUGUGGGUCCUACUUCCAUGUGACCUUGGGGAGACUGAUUUUGCCCAUGUGACUUGGGAAAUAGGGUUCCAGGCUUGGGGGUGGUGGUGUAAACAAAGCCUUGUAGGGAUCAGACAGGACUGAAAAGUUGGGUAUGAAGUUAACAUUUCCAAAAUAAAAUCGCAGUGCUCUGACGGUCCAUAGCAGAAUCAAUCCUAUUUAAAAGGUUAACUGACCUGAUGGUGGUUGAGGGAGGUAUCGGCUAUUUAAGACAAGUAAGUGUGAAAAGACACUGGGUGGAGAGACUGCAGUAAGUACUAAGUGUAGUGCUGUGUGAGGUGCCUUUGGAAGUCUAGAGAUGCUAGGUCCUGGGGUCAUGUUUACAGCACAGGUGAAUGUGUAGAAUUAGGAGAAUCAUGCUAUGUAGCCAGGUUGGCCCAGAACUUGUUAUUUAUUUUCCAGCCUUAGCCUUAAGAGCCCUGGGAUUACAGAUGUGUGGAACCAUGUUUGGUUCAGAACAGUUUGUCAAA